AUUCCAGCUCCAAUAGCGUAUAUUAAUGUUGUUGCAGUUAAAAAGCUCGUAGUUGGAUUCCUGGCCUGGGGUAGCCGGUCCGCCUUGCAAAAGGUGCGCACUGAGCGGCCUCGGCCAUCCUUGGGAAGAGCAGUCCUGGCAUUCAGUUGUCGGGGCUGGGAUUCCCGACGUUUACUGUGAAAAAAUCAGAGUGUUCAACGCAGGCUUACGCCUUGAAUACAUUAGCAUGGGAUAAUGAGAUAGGACCUUGGCGGUCUAUUUUGUUGGUUUGCACGCCGAGGUAAUGAUUAAAAGGGACGGUUGGGGUUCUUCGUAUUCAAUUGUCAGAGGUGAAAUUCUUGGAUUUAUGGAAGACGAGCUGCUGCGAAAGCGUCGAACAAGGACGUUCUCAUCA
rnacentral:rRNA from 1 species